AUCGAACGCUGGCGGCAUGCCUUACACAUGCAAGUCGAACGGUAACAGGUCUUCGGAUGCUGACGAGUGGCGAACGGGUGAGUAAUACAUCGGAACGUGCCCGAUCGUGGGGGAUAACGAAGCGAAAGCUUUGCUAAUACCGCAUACGAUCUACGGAUGAAAGCAGGGGACCGCAAGGCCUUGCGCGAACGGAGCGGCCGAUGGCAGAUUAGGUAGUUGGUGGGAUAAAAGCUUACCAAGCCGACGACCUGUAGCUGGUCUGAGAGGACGACCAGCCACACUGGGACUGAGACACGGCCCAGACUCCUACGGGAGGCAGCAGUGGGGAAUUUUGGACAAUGGGCGAAAGCCUGAUCCAGCCAUGCCGCGUGCAGGAUGAAGGCCUUCGGGUUGUAAACUGCUUUUGUACGGAACGAAAAGACUCUGGUUAAUACCUGGGGUCCAUGACGGUACCGUAAGAAUAAGCACCGGCUAACUACGUGCCAGCCGCCGCAGUAACAC
rnacentral:rRNA from 1 species